UGGUAGGUUAUUUAAAUGGUAACAAAUUAGUCUUUCAUACGCAACGUUUUAAUUCUGCACUGCCUCCUGGACAUGGC